rnacentral:lncRNA from 1 species
AAGAUACGAUGAACCAUGAGUGUAAGACAUUCAGACUUACAGCAAAAAGCAUUUCAAAGUGCUCUCUUUGGCCAACAUCAGUGAGGUAUAUAAUCCAGUCAACCUCCUCCUCAUUUAGUCGAUACCUACUUGUUGUACAUGUAAGUCUUAAAACAAGCACACUUUCCACAGAUACAAGUUUCUACAGUUAAAUGAUUAGCGUAUCAGCACUUGUAUUGCAAAUUUGCAAUGAUAGUCUAAUAGGCACCAUUAUCCUGACCCUAUUCCAGAUAGUCUGAUCUUGUAGUAUAUAUGCUACGAUAAAGUAAGAAAAACGAUCCCAAAGAACCUUUCCUAACAGAAGAUAAAUUAGCGGACCUAGAAACAUGGAAACUCACCACAGGGCAGCAACAUCUGUUGAUGCAUAAUUGUAGCCACCAUCCCUUUUUACAACAAUAAGGGGUAUGUUUUUUCCUUCAAUGAAUAUGACACGAGCACCUUCGCUUUCUUCAAUUAAUCCCUCUUUAUUCAGCAACUCCAGAGCACCAGCAAUGUAGGGAUUAUAAAAGCUCUCUCCCUGGGAAAAGGAAAAUAGAUGAUAUGUAAUGCAAGGGGUAUAGAAGCCAAAAAUUGGUCAAUGGGAAUGAUUUUUACAAUACACUACUAAAGAUCUUCUAGGAAAUAAUACUAAGAGAUAUUACAAAGACCUCGUCGAGUAUUCACCAAAAGCUUCAAAUAGACCAGCCUGAGAAACUUAAAAAACAUAGAAGCCUCCAUACCUUCUCCUCCAACUCAACUCCAAGACGCUGAUACACCUUUUCAAAUCCACCCCUACUGAUUUUACAAAUUUGAGCUCAAGCCUUCCGGUACUUCUCCUCCCCAGCCUGUAGAUUUGAUACAUAGAUAUAUAUAGCACCACACAUAGAAAGUAUAAACAGGCGCUCCCGUUUUAUAUAAAGUCAAAAUGGGAAUGAAACAAUUCUUCAGGAUCAUCAGGGAAGACAAACCAUUCUACCUGAAGACUCACAACUGCCCGCUGGGCUCUUUCCUUGAAAGCAGGGUCACUAUCAAAUCUUAGCUUUGAUGCCUUGUAAAAUGCCUGAGAAACCAGCAAUUGGGAAAUCGAUGAAUCCCAAGUAGCAAAACCCAUAAACCUUUUAACAAAAAUGAGCAUUUGUAUUUAAUUCUGAAGAUAGAGAUGUGUUAUAAGUUAUUCAAAGUUAAAUGAGUAAUUUCAUUAUAAGAGAAAAAAUCUUAUACAGUAUUUUGUUUGUUGAUGGUUAACCAACACAAUGAAUCAAGAAAAAACCCAAUAGGUUAACAUCAUCAAGUAGAAUUGCAUGCUCAACACAGAGCUGGAGAAUAUAACUACACAAGAUCUAUAAAGACAGAAGGAUAUUCAAAUUCGGCUCUCACCUCCAAGUCUCCUAUGGCUUGAUCAUUGACAACUUCUAUGCUUGGAAACUUUUCGAAUAGGAACUCGAUUAACAUACCAAACUGGAAGCCAAUCAAACAGCAUUAGUAUAUAAAAGAAUUUAUAAUGAACAAUACAGCUACCAUUAAGAUCAGCAUCAGAGCACCAUGAGGUCCCUCAUCUUCUACCAAAUGGAAAUUUGUACACAACUUAUAGAUAAAUUCCAACAAGACAUCUUAAGACAUUGUUGCAUUCACUUCAUAAAUAAACAAAAAGCUGAAAUCUCUAAUCAGGAUACUAAAAUAAAAACCUAAAUUUUUGAAAGUUUGCAAAAAAAAACAGAAUCUGCAGUUUCCCCAGAAAGUAAAAGAUAUUUUACCAACUAAAGGUAAAUGUUCAAAAUUUGGUUUCUCUUUGACAACUUCACAAAUACAAGUUUCAAAAUAAUAAACUAAAACAACAAUAAUUCAUAACUACAAAUUAAUCUCUUCUUGAGAAAUGGCACUGCUACUCAUAAUCACCAACAAAGAUAGGUACAUAGCUGCGUCCCCCAGUCCCCAACAUGGUUUCUUCGAAGAACCUCCAUAUUGAAUACUCCAGCAUACGGGCAUUUCUUUUGCUAUAUUAGGUGAGGAGAAAUCAACCACAGCCCUUUUAACCGAAAGCUUAGGAUCCCACAUUUCAAUACCAUCUACUAGCAUGUUAUGAAUGCUCUGCAACAAUUUCGGUAAGAUCCAUAUAAGCCCAUAAAGAGUAUCUAACUAAAGCAUUGUUACUGAAAUUACCUUGGCUAUCCAUUGGCUUGACAAUACAACAUUUACAAAGCCAUGCCCCGCAAUUGAGGUUUCAUGUAUCAUUUCUGAUGGAGGAAGAUUUGCUUUAAUGGCCUAGAAAAUAAACACACAACAGACCAUCUCAUAUAACCAAGUUCCAAACCAACAUGACAUGUCAUUUAUAUAAUCAUACUUUUGCCAUACUAAACCUACAACAUAAAGGUAUAUAGUAAAAAAGUAAACACAUUCAUCAAAACCUGUCCUAUUUGUUGGGGAUUUUAAAACUGGGUACUCCUUCCUUUAACUUUUGACCACAAGCCCAUCGCAUUGUUGCUGUAGAACGAGAGAAUUUAAAAUUUGUAAUGAAAGGUGGUGCAAUACUGAACGAUGAUUACGCAUUACCAAUACAUAAUGCUUUCAAAAAUAUAAUCCAAAAGUUUUAAGAGCAGAUCAAAUACCCUACUAAAAAAUAUGAGAAAAAAUUGUACUAUAACAUAAAAAGGGAAAUGCAAUACCAUUGGAAAUCACCAAGUUUUGGAUUUUGACAAGGAGCAAUAGCAGGCUCGAUAUCCACCUACGGGACUGCUACUCUCAAAGAUUCUUCAAAUAGCUUUGCUAGCUGUUUCUUAAGACUACUGGCAGUUCCGCGAUCCUGCUAAUGAUACAUUAAACAAGAAUUCACAACCGGCAAACCACACUAAUUUGCAGCCUGUUUCAGCUUAUUCAACUGAGCAACAGAAAUAGGGUUUACACAUAGAUAAACUGUGAUUGGAUGUACAAGCACCAACCUGUGUUUCCUGACCAAGAAUUUAAGCUUAUGUAAUAAGACAGUAAUACGAACUUACACUCGCCAUACUUGUCAACGAUGAUGCCUUGGCUCUGAGGACUAUUCUUUGAGAAGUUCUAAGAAUACCUAUCUAAUUUUAUGAGAAUCACAACAAGAUUAACAAACGAUCCAGCAAUCAUUUGUUCUGAUCACAAGAAGAUUAACAAACAAUUCACAUUUUGCUACCACUAAAAUUUAAUUGCAAAUUACAAAGUUACAUAUAUAUUUCAGAACGGUGAUCUACCUACUAUCGAUUAAUUUAUGAAAACACCGUUUUUGACACUUUCUUUUUGGCGCCAAAUUUAGAAUAUUAUUUUUUUUUCCUUCUGUCUUUUAUACUUGCAUACAAUAAUUUCUUUGUCUUCUUGUAUUUGCAUCAGGUAGUUUUUGGGUAACAAAAACAGAUGCAAUCCAUGACGCAUUCAUUCAUUAUUGACAACUAAGUUGGUGUCAAUAAUCAGUUGUGGCAGUUAUUGUUACAAAAUUAAUACAAAUUAAAAAAUUUCUUAUUGAAAUUUGAAUUUUUGUGCAGAUAUUCAGAGAAUUGCAGUUUGCAGGGCAGAGAGGGCACAACGAAGAUGAGCAGACCACAAUUAAUUCAUAGGAGUAUCUGCGAUUGAGAAGCAGCAGCAUCAACGCCACUACGAAUUUCUUCAGAUUUUUAAUUUCAUGUCUGAGAAAGACACUGUUGCUGUUGGAGAGAUGAAUGAUUAAAGUUUGUGUGGUGCUGCUGGAGUCCAAAAUCCGACAAAAAGCUAACUUACAUACUCCACUUUUUUGCUGAAACUCUAAUAAUUUUGCACUCAA